rnacentral:rRNA from 1 species
UUAAUAGUAAAAUCUGCUCAAUGAUUAUUAAAUAGCCGCAUUUGUGCUAAGGUAGCAUAAUAAUUUGUCUUUUAAAUGAGGACUAGAACAAAUGAUUUAACAUUUCAAUUUAUAUAUUUUUAUAAUAAAUUAAAAUUAUCUUAAAUGUAAAAAGACAUUUAUAAAGUAGAAAGACGACCAGACCCUAUUGAACUUUACUUUAGUUUAACUGGGGAAGUUAAUCAAUUAUUAUUUUAAUAUAAUUAAAAAACUAAAUAUCUAAUAAAUUAAUUAAUUCAGUUACCAUAGGGAUAACAGCGCAAUUAUAUUUUAAAGCCCUUAUUUAAAAAAUAGAUUACGACCUCGAUGUUGAAUUAAUUACCUCUUUAUAAGCAAAUUUAAAAAAAGGAAGUCUGUUCGACCUUUAAAUAAUUACAUGAUUUGAGUUCAGACCGGUAUAAGCCAGGUCAGCUUCCAUCUUCUUUAGAAGUUUUUACAGUACGAAAGGACCUACAUACUUAAUUAAAUUAAUUUAAUUGGCAGACAAAUGCAUUAGAAUUAGAAUCUAAUAAAUCUCA